rnacentral:rRNA from 1 species
ACCCAAAGGACUUGACGGUACCCCAUAUCCCCCUAGAGGAGCCUGUCCUAUAAUCGAUAACCCACGUUUAACCUCACCAUUUUUAGUCAAUCAGCCUGUAUACCUCCGUCGUCAGCUUACCACGUGAGCGCCAAUUAGUGAGCUUAAUGUUAUUUCACCAGUACGUCAGGUCAAGGUGCAGCAAAUAAAAUGGGAAGAGAUGGGCUACACUCUCUAUAUUAGAAAAAACGAAAAACUACCUAUGAAAUCUAGUUAGAAGGCGGAUUUAGCAGUAAAAAGGAAUCAGCAUGUCCAUUUUAACCCGGCACUGGGGUGUGUACACACCGCCCGUCACCCUCUUCAAAGCCAUAAACACAGUUUUUAACAAAUUUAAGCAUAACAGAAGAGGCAAGUCGUAACAUGGUAAGUAUACCGGAAGGUGUGCUUGGAAA